rnacentral:lncRNA from 1 species
ACAGCUUAACCGACACAAGUAUCCUGCACACUCCGAAGUAAGAAAGCAAUUCCACCAAAUUAAGAAGCACUGUGGAUCCUGUCAAAGCUGAACCAAACCAAGUGAGUCAGAAAAGGCCAAACACAUUAAUCAUCAUGAGCGUCAUUCAGGUUUGUCUUUAUCACUCUGAAUUUGCAUAGACUCUCUAGGACUGUCACUG